rnacentral:rRNA from 1 species
GAUGAACGCUGGCGGCGUGCCUAAUACAUGCAAGUCGAGCGAACAGAUGAGGAGCUUGCUCCUCUGACGUUUGCGGCGGACGGGUGAGUAACACGUGGAUAAUGCACCUAUACGACGGGGAUAACUUCGGGAAACCGGAGCUAACACCGGAUAAUAUAUUGAACCGCAUGGUUCAAUAGUGAAAGACGGUUUUGCUGUCACUAAUAGAUGGAUCCGCGCCGCAUUAGCUAGUUGGUAAGGUAACGGCUUACCAAGGCAACGAUGCGUAGCCGACCUGAGAGGGGGAUCGGCCACCCUGGAACUGAGACACGGUCCAGACUCCUACGGGAGGCAGCAGUCGGGAAUCUUCCGCAAUGGGCGAAAGCCUGACGGAGCAACGCCGCGUGAGUGAUGAAGGUCUUCGGAUCGUAAAACUCUGUUAUUAGGGAAGAACAAAUGUGUAAGUAACUGUGCACGUCUUGACGGUACCUAAUCAGAAAGCCACGGCUAACUACGUG